CGGACGGGNGGUAGUAACACGUGGGUAACCUACCUAUAAGACUGGGAUAACUUCGGGAAACCGGAGCUAAUACCGGAUAAUAUUUCGAACCGCAUGGUUCGAUAGUGAAAGAUGGUUUUGCUAUCACUUAUAGAUGGACCCGCGCCGUAUUAGCUAGUUGGUAAGGUAACGGCUUACCAAGGCGACGAUACGUAGCCGACCUGAGAGGGUGAUCGGCCACACUGGAACUGAGACACGGUCCAGACUCCUACGGGAGGCAGCAGUG
rnacentral:rRNA from 1 species